AUUGAACGCUGGCGGCAUGCCUUACACAUGCAAGUCGAACGGCAGCAUGAUCUAGCUUGCUCGAUUGAUGGCGAGCGGCGAACGGGUGAGUAAUACAUCGGAACGUGCUCUGUAGUGGGGGAUAACUAGUCGAAAGAUUAGCUAAUACCGCAUACGACCUGAGGGUGAAAGUGGGGGACCGCAAGGCCUCAUGCUAUAGGAGCGGCCGAUGUCUGAUUAGCUAGUUGGUGAGGUAAAGGCUCACCAAGGCGACGAUCAGUAGCUGGUCUGAGAGGACGAUCAGCCACACUGGAACUGAGACACGGCCCAGACUCCUACGGGAGGCAGCAGUGGGGAAUUUUGGACAAUGGGCGAAAGCCUGAUCCAGCAAUGCCGCGUGUGUGAAGAAGGCCUUCGGGUUGUAAAGCACUUUUGUCCGGAAAGAAAUGGCUCUGGUUAAUACCUGGGGUCGAUGACGGUACCGGAAGAAUAAGGACCGGCUAACUACGUG
rnacentral:rRNA from 1 species